GAUGAACGCUGGCGGCGUGCCUAAUACAUGCAAGUCGAGCGAACAGACGAGGAGCUUGCUCCUCUGACGUUAGCGGCGGACGGGUGAGUAACACGUGUAUAACCUACCUAUAAUACUGGGAUAACUUCGGGAAACCGGAGCUAAUACCGGAUAAUAUAUUGAACCGCAUGGUUCAAUAGUGAAAGACGGUUUUGCUGUCACUUAUAGCUGGAUCCGCGCCGCAUUAGCUAGUUGGUAAGGUAACGGCUUACCAAGGCGACGAUGCGUAGCCGACCUGAGAGGGUGAUCGGCCACACUGGAACUGAGACACGGUCCAGACUCCUACGGGAGGCAGCAGUAGGGAAUCUUCCGCAAUGGGCGAAAGCCUGACGGAGCAACGCCGCGUGAGUGAUGAAGGUCUUCGGAUCGUAAAACUCUGUUAUUAGGGAAGAACAAAUGUGUAAGUAACUAUGCACGUCUUGACGGUACCUAAUCAGAAAGCCACGGCUAACUACGUG
rnacentral:rRNA from 1 species